GUUUACUCUUCUGAACUGUACUGUAUAUCCUGUUGAUGAGAUAUGCUUGAGAAGUUAAAAGAAAUCACUAUUGGAAUUGUAAUUACACUGUUCUUUUUUUUUUUAAACCUUUUGCCUGGUUUGGGAAAAAAGACAAAAGCAAAGCAGGUGGUGUGGGUUUGGAACACUUCAAGUUGGCAAUAAAAUGGUCUCCUGUGAACCGAAUCACAAUCCUGUUGCUUUUGAUGAGCAGGAACCGUGGAAGCUUUGUCCAGGAGCUGCUGGCGUCAGGCAGAGGGCUCUGCAGAACACACCAGAACACACCCUGAGCUCCGGCACCGAAACCCCCGUGGUGUUUAAUGUGUUACCGGAGGCCCAGAAAAGCAAGGAGAUGAGAUGUGUGGAUGACGUGUGGCAGGAGAGCCUGAUCUUUAGAUAAUGCAGCCACUGUGUGUGUAUUUGGAAUGAACUGUGGAGCAGCACGUUCCUUGAAGCAGGAGGUGACUGUGACAGGUCUUCACUGCCAAAGUGGUGAUGUCAGGGAGGGCAGGAAGGAAAGCACACGCAAGCAGGUUGGGAAGCACAUUGAGUUUUCACUUGUGCCAGGGAUGAAACCCCUCCACGAGGUGGCAGGGACCGGCAGGACUGCAGGGGUGAUGUGGGGCUGCUCUUGGCCCACAUUUCGGCACGUGUCCCAUUUCAGCAGCCCCCCCAC
rnacentral:lncRNA from 1 species